rnacentral:rRNA from 1 species
CCUACGGGGGGCAGCAGUGAGGAAUAUUGGUCAAUGGGCGAGAGCCUGAACCAGCCAAGUCGCGUGAGGGAGUACUGCCCUAUGGGUUGUAAACCUCUUUUGUCGGGGAGCAAAAGCCGGACGUGUCCGGCUGUGAGAGUACCCGAAGAAAAAGCAUCGGCUAACUCCGUGCCAGCAGCCGCGGUAAUACGGAGGAUGCGAGCGUUAUUCGGAUUUAUUGGGUUAAAAGGGUGCGCAGGCGGAUUUUUAAGUCAGCGGUAAAAUCGUGGGGCUCAACCCCAUCCAGCCGUUGAAACUGGGGAUCUAGAGUGUGCGAGAGGUAUGCGGAAUGCGUGGUGUAGCGGUGAAAUGCAUAGAUAUCACGCAGAACCCCGAUUGCGAAGGCAGCAUACCGGUGCACAACUGACGCUCAGGCACGAAAGCGUGGGUAUCGAACAGGAUUAGAUACCCCAGUAGUC